GACGUAGGUGGCGAACGUUAUCCGGAAUCAUUGGGCGUAAAGGGUGCGUAGAUGGCAUGAUAAGUUAUUAGUGGGAAAUCGAGGCUCAACCUCGUGGAAGCUAGUAAUACUGUUUUGCUUGAGUACAGAAGAGGUUAACGGAACUCCAUGUGGAGCGGUAAAAUGCGUAGAUAUAUGGAAGAACACCAAUAACGGCGAAGGCAGUAAACUAUUCUGUUACUGACAUUGAGGCACGAAAGCGUGGGGAGCAAAACGG
rnacentral:rRNA from 1 species